AUUUUCUGAGGGACUCCUUCAGCAUAAAAGUAUCCACACUUUGUCCAGACAGUAAUUGAUGUAGAGCAGUUUCUCAAGAAAAGCUCAAUGAAUGGAUAAAUACUACACCUGCCCCCUCUCUCAAUCCCAAGUGUAUUUUCAUUUGUACUUGAACACACACACACACACAUUCACACAGGUGAUUUGCCAUCUCCAGAAAGAAUUCACUCUCCUUUUGUGCAAUUGUAAUUGCUAGAGUUUUUUUCUGUUUUUUUGUUUGUUUGUUUGCUUGUUUGUUUAAGAUCAGAUCUAUCUCCUUAUCACAUUUGCCAAUUAACCUUUAUUCAAGCUCCUGGGAUCAAAGAUAGAAAAUCUAAUCUUUCUUACCCAAUCAAAUGGAAGAAGACAGAUAUUGUGGCCCCUUAAAAUAUUUUUUAUUCCUUUUAACUGUAUGAUAAUGAUAGUUCUAAUAGUCUAAGUUUUAAAAUCUUUACACACAAAAGAAUAUUUUAAUUAUAUCAGAGUAAAAUUUAUUUUCUUCUCUUUUUAAAAAUAGCCAGAGGCAAACAUACAUAUUGAAGGCAGCUAAACUAAACCUCAUGGAACCCCAUUUUUCCUUACUUGCUGGAGGAAGCAUCAGCAUCACCAUUACAGCUGAAGGGAUUUUGAGGCUAUGGGAAAUUCUAUCUUAGUAGCAGGACUUUGAUGUCCCUUCAUAGGGUCACAUGAUAUUUUAAUUGAAGACUGCAGAACUGGCUCAUCUGAAGAUCAGAUGCCUCUACUUAGCAUUUGUAUUAUUGUGGAAUGAUUUUGAGAUUCUCAGUCUGGAGAGAUUUCGUUUACAUUGUAGGAUAUUCUCAGACUUUAGAAAAGAUUUAUAAAUGUUUUUAACCCUUGAAAGCACUCUAGGAUGAAUUGCCGUUUAAUUUGUUAAGGUCACUAUAAAAGGUCAGUGAAUAAAAGGUGGGCAAAUUUCCAAUUCAGUUAAAGAAACCAUACUAUUAGAUAAUCACUAAUUGUUCAGCAGUGGCCAUUGCAUUAGAAUUAGGGCACUGUGUUUUUAUAUGCUCAAAUGUGAACAGAAUAUUGCUUUCACAAAAGUAAUCAGUCUGAUAUGGCAUAUGCAAGAAAUGUAAUGGACUAAAUUUCUUUCUUUUUUCCUCUUUCUCUGAUUUCAGGUUCUGCGAAGGUGGGAAAUUGUCCCUGUGUGCUAUAUAUCGGGGACAUCCAACUUAAUGACCAAAUUAAAUCAUUAGUCUAGGUUUCAAUAAUACAUCUUUAUAGGACUUGGUGGAAACUUCACAAUGCCUAUCCACUCUCCCACAGGAAAAGCUAGCUGCCACAAAUGUGCGAAAAGACCUCUUUGGGCUGGUUACUUAAUGAAGGAAUUUCCUACAUCUCUUCUAACCGUAGUAUAGGUGCACGUUAUACAGCUUCUGGCCACCUGGGUUGAAAGUGAAACAUGGGGCAGCCAGCCUUCCUCCUGACAGAUGCCCUCAGUGAAUGCAGCAGGAGGAAGAAUGCCAGUGUGUGCCCUCUAGGGCAGAAGGUGGCCUCCCUUUCUCGUGGCUAUUCAAAUUGGACAAAGGCCAAUAUUUCCUUCCACAAAAAGGCCAGCAUGUAGAGGAGUUUAUUUUUCUUUCACAUCCAAGAGAUGCUACCUUUCUCUCUUAUCUCCUUACCUCCAAAAGAGACCCUUAAUAACCAGGAUGAAAGCUUUCCCUAAAUCCAUGUCAUCUGAGAAUGGGUGAAUACACUUCCCCAGGGAGGCUGUGGUUCAGGAGCUGCUUUUUUAGCUCUGGGGCAAGCUGCCCAUGAUUAUGUGGGAAGAUGACAGAUGAUGGGUUGACCACAGAUAGUGUUUUGCUGUUAACUCUGCAAGGAGACUCUGAGAGGCUUUACGUAUAUCCAACAAUUACCCUAAAAUGCUGCUCACUCUAAUGAGGUGUUGGGAAAUGGAAAAUGCUCAGGGGUUGUUUAGCAAUCAUAUCAGGGUAGUGUUCUUUCAGCAGAUGAUAGGGGUUUUCUUCCCUUUUUAUGGAAAUAUAUACUAAGAAAUACAACUUUUCACAGCAACAGCAAACUCAUAUUCAGACAAGAACAAGUCUUUACCAAUUUUAAACAAUAAGUGAAGUUAUCUGAGAGGAAACCUCUUUGAAGUGUCUUGGAGGUUUUCAUGAAUAAACCUUGGAGGAAUGUACAUCCUAGCUAUUUCCCCCACAAAGACAGUUUUUGUGUUUGUAAAUGCCUGCAAGCAUAUACGCCUGAACACAUACCUGCUUCCAUUAUUUCCCACAAUUCCCUGCCAUAAUUACCUUGAAGAAGAAAAGAAGGAUAAAACACUUAGUUAUAGUUAAACUCACACUUGCGAUUUGAACACUUAGUUUUCUUUCAAGGCUGUCUAUUUUGAUUAGUGCUUGGUUGGUUAUCUAAGACUAUCUCCAAGUCUCAAGCUAUGUAACUCUUAAUCAGACCAGCGCAAGUCUUAACUUGUUUGAAAGCAAAUGUCUUCCAAAUUCCAUCUCAGCUUUUUUAAAAAAAGAUUGAUGGUAGAAAACUAUAAAAAUGUUUAUAUUUAAAUAGGUGUACAGUUCUAUUUUAGUAUAUAUGAAUUAAUAAUGCAUUUGAAUUGAGUUUUGCCCGAAAUGUAGGUGUUAUUACUACUGGAUACAUAAUUUUAUUAUUUUUAAUUACUAAUAUGAAGUUAAGUAUAUGGUCAGAUGACUAUCUGGAAUCUCUAAUUCAAUUUUCCUCUUAUUUAGUUUAAAUCUGUUUUUAAAACAAUAAAUCACGUAAGUAGUUUUACUUUCCUUAAAUAUCAUUUACAAAUGUUUUUCCAUUUUUUGAAACUUGGUCAAGUAUACUGUGAAGCUCUUUCUUGAAAUGUAGGUAAAAGAUAUAGAGAUUUCCUUCUACAUUUGCUGUUGUAAUUUUGUGCUGAAAUCCCACAGACCACAGUAUUUACUAAAUCAGUUUCUCGGGAUAAUCUGUUGUUUACCAAGUCAUGUAAAUAUGGUUUCUACAGUUAAUAGGUACUAUUUCAUGAAGGGAGCCACCAGAACAGCAGAGCUACAGGAGUACUUUGUAUCAUAUGGACAAAGAUGCGAUUUAUCCAUCUGAUAGAUUAUUAGGUUUUAGUGAUUUUUUUUUUUUCUGGAUUGUGAGUGUUAGUAGACUGGAGAAAGAUUGCAAGUUCAAUAGCAUAAAUUGUAUGUAAAUAGCCCAAACAUACUAUUUGGGUUGCCAAACAUCUAUAGGAGAUGGCCUUAUUAAACUGAGAACUUGUGUUCUAAAUACAAAGUGGCGACAUUUCCAAACACACAGGUUGCGCUUACCUGUAUUUAUGUAAAGCUACAUAGUGGAAUAUCCAAUUUGUUUAUUUGUCCUUGUCUUCCUAUUAGAUGAUGAUAAAUGAUGAUUGUCAAUAAUUAUUGAGCACUUACUAUGUGUCAGGUACUGUUUCAGGGCUCUGAUGCAGUAGCAAUUUAUUUAUGCUUUUUCAGCUUAUUUGUAGCUCAUAGGUGGGAGAUCUGAUUUGGUUGCAGUUUGCACAGAAAAGAAAAAAAAAAAACCUCACUCUCUCCCUAAAUACCUCUCAUUUGUCUCCUUUAUCUUUUAUUAUCCUUUUUUAAUCCAUGAGAACACUUUGUAAAUUUGUUUAAGAUGCUCUUUGGAUUGCUGGGAAUUUUUCUUCCAGUUUUAUUGAGAUAUAGUUGACAUAAAGCAUUGUAUAGGUUUAAUGUGUGUAGCCUAAUGAUUUGACGCACUUAGCAUAAGUUGAGUGACUAUCCAUCAUCUCAUACAGAUACAACAUUGAAGAAGUAGAAAAAAAUUUUUUUUUCUUGUGUAAGUGGCAUGUUGUUUUUAUUCCCUCCUCUUGUAAGCUCUUUCAUGCCCAAGUCCAACUGCCCAGGUAAACUGUAUCACAUAGGCCUGAUUCCUGUCCAGUUCUCAUUCUCUUUCCUUCUUUACCCACCUUCCAUACCAGCUCAACAGCAGUGCUGGCCCUUCUAACUAAAGAUACAUUUGAUUUGUUUUCUUUUAAUGGACACAAUCAUUACUAAGCUUAACUUAAUUGUCACCAUUAGUUAGAAGGGCCAACACUGCUGCUGAGCUGUUGCUCUAGAAUUUUCAUAGUCUGUGCUUUUAAACAGAAAAAUACAAAUCUAGGUUUUUCCAUGCAGAUUUUCUCACAUUGAAAUAAUGAUUCAAAUUUUGAGAAGAAAAAAAAAAAUCAUGAAAACAAAAAAAGACGCCCUUGGGCAUAUCUAGGUUGUAAAUUUGAAGUCUCCAUUUCAACUCCAAUCAGUGUUCAACUCAUUGGCUAUGCUUGUAGGUAUUUAAAAAAAAAGCUGCUACUUUUAUAAGUAGAAAGCCUUCGAUCCCAUAAAUUACAAACCUCAAAAAAUUUAAAAGAAAAGCCACAAGUCAUUACAAAAACCACUGACUCCAAUAAUUAAGAAAUUAAUUUAAGAACAAUGUUAGACUCUAAGAUUGUUUUCCUGUUCUGUUUCUCCAAUCAUAUUUCUUACUCUUUUAGUUCAUAUAGGACACUUCUUUAAGAACACUGAAAAUUUAGUUUAAAAAGCAAUGGCAGGAGUUCCUGUUGUGGCACAGUGGUUAAUGAAUCUGACUAGGAACGAUGAGGUUGCGGGUUCGAUCCCUGGUGUUGCUCACUGGGUUAAGGACCCGGUGUUGCUGUGGCUCUGGUGUAGGCCGGUGGCUAUGGCUCCGAUUAGACCCCUAGCCUGGGAACCUCCAUAUGCUGUGGGAGUGGCCCUAGAAAAG
rnacentral:lncRNA from 1 species